rnacentral:misc_RNA from 1 species
AAACUGCGAAAAGUAAUGUGAACUGCAUACUUUGUGAAUCAUCGAGUCUUUGAAUGCACCUUGCGCCUCUUUCGAGUGGCAUACUUGUUUGAGUAUCAGGAUAUUUUCGUCGUCUUUUUUUAAAUGAUCGCGGAUGUGUGCAUCAGAAAUCAACAUGAUUUUUGUGGCAUUAAAAAAAGAGAUUUUUAUGCAUUUGAUUUUUCAUUGGAAUAGGGAUGAUUUUUCAUUGAGUGUUUUAAUGAAAAAUUGAGUGUUUUAAUUCUCGUGUGAAACCAAGCCAGAGAUGUGAUGUCAAGCACGGAUGAUCUUAGCAUAUGGUCUCACUUUAUUAUUGAUCUCAAAUCAAGUAAGAUUACCCGCUGAACUUAA